CCCCACCCACAAUGGAGCUCUGCAGCUGCUUCUCCCACCUCCGCUCCCUCCCGCCGCCCCUCCUCGUCCUCUCCGCCGCCGGCCUCCUCUCCCUCAUCCGCCUCUCCCUCCUCCUCCUCCGCUUCAUCUACGUCACCUUCCUCCGCCCCGGCAAGCCCCUCCGCCGCUACGGCUCCCACGCCCUAAUCACCGGCGCCACCGACGGCAUCGGCAAGUCCUUCGCCUUCCAGCUCGCCCGCCUCAACCUCCACCUCAUCCUUGUUGGCCGCAAUCCCGAGAAACUCAGCACCGUCGCCGAAUCCAUCCGAUCCAAACAUCCAAACUGCCAGAUCCAAACCGUCGUCAUCGACUUUGCCGGCGAUCUCGUCGCCGGCGUUGGCCGGCUCAAGGCGGCGAUCGAGGGGGUCGAUGUCGGGCUGCUGGUGAACAACGCCGGGGUGUCAUAUCCGUAUGCGAGGUAUUUUCAUGAGGUUGAUGAUGAGCUUUUGGCGAAUUUGAUUAAGGUUAAUGUGGAGGGGGUGACAAGGGUGACGCAUGCGGUGUUGCCGGGGAUGAUUGAGAGGAAGAGGGGGGCGAUUGUUAAUAUCGGCUCGGGGGCGGCGAUCGUCAUUCCGUCGGAUCCGCUCUAUGCGGUGUAUGCGGCGACUAAAGCGUACGUCGAUCAAUUUUCGAGAUGUCUUUAUGUCGAGUACAUGAACAAAGGAAUAGAUGUCCAAUGCCAGGUGCCCUUGUACGUUGCGACAAAGAUGGCAUCAAUCAGGAAAUCAUCUUUCUUCGUGCCCUCAUCAGACACCUACGCUCGGGCCGCCUUACGGUGGAUAGGCUAUGAGCCGAGAUGCACGCCCUACUGGCCACAUUCCAUUCUCUGGUGCCUGUUGUCCGUGCUACCAGAGUCUGUGAUCGAUAAAUGGCGCCUCAACUUCUGUAUCGGUGUCCGUAAGAGGGGGCAGCUCAAGG
rnacentral:misc_RNA from 1 species